UAGAGUUUGAUCCAUGGCUCAGAACAAACGCUGGCGGCGUGCUUAACACAUUCAAGUCGUACGAGAAAGUUUGCUUCGCCAAAUGAGUAAAGUGGCGCACGGGUGAGUAACGCGUGGAUAAUCUGCCCUUUAGCCGGGAAUAACUCAUCGAAAGGUGGGCUAAUACCCGAUAACACUGCUUUUACCACGGUGAAGCAGUCAAAGACAGCCUCUGUUUACAAGCCUUCACUAAAGGAUGAGUCCGCGUACCAUUAGCUUGUUGGUAGGGUAAUGGCCUACCAAGGCUACGAUGGUUAGCUGGUCUGGGGGGAUGAUCAGCCACACUGGAACUGAGACACGGUCCAGACUCCUACGGGAGGCAGCAGUGAGGAAUCUUGCGCAAUGGGGGAAACCCUGACGCAGCAACACCGCGUGAGUGAGGAAGGUCCUCGGAUCGUAAAGCUCUGUCAGGUGAGAAG
rnacentral:rRNA from 1 species